rnacentral:rRNA from 1 species
UAAUACGAAGGGGGCUAGCGUUGCUCGGAAUUACUGGGCGUAAAGGGAGCGUAGGCGGAUAUUUAAGUCGGGGGUGAAAGCCCAGGGCUCAACCCUGGAACUGCCUUCGAUACUGGAUAUCUAGAGUAUGGGAGAGGUGUGUGGAACUCCGAGUGUAGAGGUGAAAUUCGUAGAUAUUCGGAAGAACACCAGUGGCGAAGGCGACACACUGGCCCAUUACUGACGCUGAGGCUCGAAAGCGUGGGGAGCAAACAGGAUUAGAUACCCUGGUAGUCCACGCUGUAAACGAUGAGUGCUAGUUGUCGGCAUGCAUGCAUGUCGGUGACGCAGCUAACGCAUUAAGCACUCCGCCUGGGGAGUACGGUCGCAAGAUUA